UUGAAAUUGAAAAUUUGGGGUUGGGUGAACGCAAUUAAGAUUUUGGAAUGACACACCACUCCGGGCUUGUUUUUCCCUUGUGACUUUAAACUGUCUAAUAAUUUGAAGGCUUUUCAAUUUCUUCUGUUGAGAUCAUUCUACUGAAGUAUCAGGAUCAUAACUUAAGUUUGUCGUGGAAUAAUUUAUGCUCUUACUCAUUAAGCAUGUAGAAUGUUGCUGAUGCUGUAGCUAUAAUCGCUUUCUUUCUUGACAGUCCUUUGCAACGCAACUGAACAAUCAAUCUGUUAUGUCAAUUUUAUAACCAUUCACCGCACGUAGAGUUACCUCCAUUAGGUUAUAACCCUGGCAGUGGCAAACCCACGACAUCAUAAUGCAGGCAAGCUAGCAGCGUGUUCUCCACAUAGUUGCUAAAUUUAUAAGGCCAUAGGUUGAUUUAUGAGGUUUUACAUUAUAUUGAGCUCAAAAGUUUACUUAAUACAUAAUGGCUUUUUGUGCAGUCAGCGCUGACAUAUAGUGAUGGGAUUGUUUAUGUCUGGUGUAUGUCUUCAUUACGUUAAUUGUAUGAAAAUAUAUUAUUAAAAUAGAAAUCUACAGUGUCAAAUAUCAAAACAGUGCACAUCUGUGUCAACCACUGCUGGACAUUUUACAUUUUUUCAUUCUAUCUAUUGAAGUUAAAUUAAAUUUUGUACUUGGCAUAAAUAUUCAAGUCGUGUUGACUUUUCCCUCUUUCUUUCUCCUCCAAUAUUUCACUUAAUUUCAUUCUUAAACAUGUCUCUCAUGCACUGUGUUCUUCCUACGUAGCAUAGGUCGUUAUUUUUAAAUUUUAUUUGAAUAUCAUUCUAUUUUGUGGCUUGCAUGUUUUCCUUAGAUUUAGCUUCCAUAUUUCUGUCCCAUAAUGGUAUCAAUUGUUCUAUAUUUUCUGUAACCCAACUAUUAUAAAAUUUGAAUUUGAGAGGUUGUGUCCCACUUAUAAUGUAUCUAGG
rnacentral:misc_RNA from 1 species